rnacentral:rRNA from 1 species
UAGGGAAUAUUGCAAAAUGGGCGAAAGCCCGAUGCAGCAACGCCGCGUGGGCGAUGAAGGCCUUCGGGUCGUAAAGCCCUUUUUGAGGGGAUGAGGAAGGACAGUACCCUCAGAAUAAGCCUCGGCUAACUACGUGCCAGCAGCCGCGGUAAAACGUAGGAGGCGAGCGUUAUCCGGAUUUACUGGGCGUAAAGCGCGUGCAGGCGGAUUGGAGAGUUGGAUGUGAAAGCUCCCGGCUUAACUGGGAGAGGUCGUUCAAUACUUCCAGUCUUGAGUGCAGUAGAGGGAAGUGGAAUUCCGGGUGUAGUGGUGAAAUGCGUAGAUAUCCGGAGGAACACCAAUGGCGAAAGCGGCUUCCUGGACUGUAACUGACGCUCAGACGCGAAAGCUAGGGUAGCAAACG